rnacentral:lncRNA from 1 species
GCCCUAGGAAGGUCCAACUGCAAGUGCAAAGGCCCUGAGCUCCGGCCUGAGACACGCGAGAAGAUGCUGGCUUCGCCGCUUCUCUUCAUCAGAAGAAACAUCUUCCCCCACACACAGGCUCCAGGGUUCGGUUAUUAAAACAGCAAAACCCAAAUGCUUCCAAGAUAAACUCCUGAUAAUGCGAUAAUAGCAGUCACCCUGGAGAAUUCCAAUUGGUGCCUCUCACCAGGGGAAAUGUCAUCAGCAAGCAAGCAUCCCGGCUAAAACAACCCC